CGCGCCAGGGGCGCUGGCAGCGUCACGGCCCUGGGGAGCGGGAGGAAGGCUGGGCGGGAAUCUCCCUUUGGAACGCUUUGCAGGGAUGGGGCCUGUGAAAACCUGGGUCAGUGCUCAUGGACCCACCCGUGACCGAGCAACCUGCCUGCCCUGGACAGCCCUCUGCAGUUACCAGUGCUUUUGACUGCGAGGAAUGCAAGGCCUGUCGGCACGAAGCGGGUGUGGCUCAGGUGCGUGGCUGUGGGCGGGCAGCACUCAGGCUGUUGUGGCACCUGUGUUCCUGUGAGCAUGGAUGAACUCUUGUAUCGUCUAGGACUUUGUGACCUUGCAACAAUGGACACAGAGAUUUGAUUUAGAGCAUUCUGUGAAACGACUUCUGUGAAACGAUGCAUGCUACAGACUUCACAGGAUCCACAUCAUUGCUGGUUUUGAGGAAAAAACAAGGCCCCAUCUACAGUUUUUAUUUGCAUAAUGUUGCUUUCCAUGCAGAAGGUUGCCAAGAAAACAGAGCAUGAAACCUGUCACAGAAAUGCAACAAGGAGGAUUCGGGGACUUUAUUUUCAAGUAGAUCUGAACCGAUUUCAAUGUAUUUCAUUGCCAUAAAAAUCAAAAUAGAAAUGUUCUUAGUGUUUAGGUUUAUUAUUACUAUUUCUCUUAAUUGUGUGCCAAUUUUAAGGAAAGGAGCAAAUAGUAGAAAAAAAUGUAGCAGGUAAGAACAUACAUUAGGCACAGUAACAAAACCAGCUACCCACAAUCACAAUCUUCCCUUGACAUAGCAGCUUUUUAGUACAGUUCUUCAAGGCUGUUUCUGUUCUCAGUUAUCACAGCUUUACUAUAACUUACAAUCACUUCCUAGAGACUUAGUUAUCCGGAUUUUACAGAGCGUUAUCUGCUUUAGGGAAAACCAGAAUGCUGCAUACAGUAAUCUGUGGUGCAAGAGCAAGAGCAGCUGGUGUAGCUUACAUAAAGUGGCAAAUAGCCCAAUGCAAUAAAAUGUGAGCAUGUUCAUAGCAAGAGCAACUAUUGGCCUAGAACAGAUGCCAGAAUAUGUUUCUGUUUGGAUCACAAAUAAAAUUAUCUGUUUAUCUUCUGUCAUAAUGAAGAUAAAACAACAGGAUGCCAUUUCCUUAAAUUUGGGGGUGACAGAUUAUCUUCAAAAUUUAGCUUUUCUUUUUUUUUUGAUUUUUGUUUUCAUAUAGUUAGUGCUCCCACUUACAAGAUCUGGGUUAUCACAUAGAUCUAAGCAAGCUGAAAUCCAAUUGGUUAAUUUAUCUAUCAAUCACCUUAUCACCUUAACUGUGGCUUUGGAGGGAGGGUUGUUUGUUUCUUUUGAGAUGGGGUUUUUAUUCUGUUCUGGGGUUUUUUUACAUAAAAGCAGAACUAGCGAAGU